UUCUUACAUUUGGGUUUAUUGGGUGAGUUUCAACUAUUUGGGUUUCAAAUCUUGUUAAUUUCUUAUUUUUUUCAUGUUUCACUUAUGUAUAACUCCCAUGUUAAUGUUUAUCUUCUGUAGAGGUGGAACAACGAGCACAUUCACUGGGAUCCAGAUCAAUUUUGUGAACAGGCGAAUAUUUUAGUUCCCACAAAAUUUUUAUGGAUGCCAGAUCUGACAAUUGAAGAAAUGACAGACCGCGAUAAAACCGCCCCAAGUUCUCUUCUUAAGAUCAGACAUGAUGGCUGGGUUGAAUAUAGAGAUGGCCAAGUGGUGGAUACCAGCUGCAGCCUUGACAUAACUCAUUUCCCAUUUGAUUAUCAGUUCUGCGACAUCUCUUUCAAGUCUAUCAUGCAUUCUGAUGAAGAACUGCUGUUGGUCAACAACAGAAACAAAACAGAGAGUUAUGAAGAAAUUAUUGAAACUAUCAAGACAACGGCAAACUGGCGUGUUUGCAGUUUAAAAGUAAACACAAAAUCUGUCGAUUAUUUUGGCUACAAUCAAACAAAGAUUGUUUACACUGUGAGUUUUUUCUGA